GGGGAAUCUUAGACAAUGGGCGCAAGCCUGAUCUAGCCAUGCCGCGUGAGUGACGAAGGCCUUAGGGUCGUAAAGCUCUUUCGCCAGGGAUGAUAAUGACAGUACCUGGUAAAGAAACCCCGGCUAACUCCGUGCCAGCAGCCGCGGUAAUACGGAGGGGGUUAGCGUUGUUCGGAAUUACUGGGCGUAAAGCGCACGUAGGCGGACUGGAAAGUUGGGGGUGAAAUCCCGGGGCUCAACCUCGGAACUGCCUCCAAAACUACUAGUCUAGAGUUCGAGAGAGGUGAGUGGAAUUCCGAGUGUAGAGGUGAAAUUCGUAGAUAUUCGGAGGAACACCAGUGGCGAAGGCGGCUCACUGGCUCGAUACUGACGCUGAGGUGCGAAAGUGUGGGGAGCAAAC
rnacentral:rRNA from 1 species